GAUGAACGCUGGCGGCGUGCCUAACACAUGCCAGUCGAGCGAACGGACGAGAAGCUUGCUUCUCUGAUGUUAGCGGCGGACGGGAGAGUAACACGUGGAUAACCUACCUAUAAGACUGGGAUAACUUCGGGAAACCGUAGCUAAUACCGGAUAAUAUUUUGAACCGCAGGGUUCAAAAGUGAAAGACGGUCUUGCUGUCACUUAUAGAUGGAUACGCGCUGCAUUAGCUAGUUGGUAAGGUAACGGCCUACCAAGGCAACUAGGCAUAGCCGAACUGAGAGGCGGAUAGCCCACACUGGAGCUGAGACACGGUCCAGACUCCUACGGGAGGCAGCAGUAGGGAAUCGUCCGCAAUGGGCGAAAGCAUGACGGAGCAACGCCGCGCGAGAUGUGAAGGUCUCCGGAGCGUGAAGCUCUGUUACUGGUGAAGAACAGAUGUGGACUUAGCUGUGCCGAGCUUGACGGUACCUAAUCAGAAAGCAACGGCUAACUACGUG
rnacentral:rRNA from 1 species